AGUGAACGCUGGCGGUAGGCCUAACACAUGCCAGUCGAACGGCAGCACAGUAAGAGCUUGCUCUUACGGGUGGCGAGUGGCGGACGGGUGAGGAAUACAUCGGAAUCUACUUUUUCGUGGGGGAUAACGUAGGGAAACUUACGCUAAUACCGCAUACGACCUACGGGUGAAAGCAGGGGAACUUCGGACCUUGCGCGAUUGAAUGAGCCGAUGUCGGAUUAGCUAGUUGGCGGGGUAAAGGCCCACCAAGGGGACGAUCCGUAGCUGGUCUGAGAGGAUGAUCAGCCACACUGGAACUGAGACACGGUCCAGACUCCUACGGGAGGCAGCAGUGGGGAAUAUUGGACAAUGGGCGCAAGCCUGAUCCAGCCAUACCGCGUGGGUGAAGAAGGCCUUCGGGUUGUAAAGCCCUUUUGUUGGGAAAGAAAAGCAGCAGGUUAAUACCCCGCUGUUCUGACGGUACCCAAAGAAUAAGCACCGGCUAACUUCGUG
rnacentral:rRNA from 1 species